CUUCGGCGGUGGGCCCGCGACUCUGGCACCAUGCUCCGGCUCCUGCGGUUGUUGCUUUUGCUGCUGCUGCCUCCCCCGGGGUCCCCCGAGCCUCCCGAGCCCCCGGGCCUGGCUCAGUUGUCACCGGGGUCGCCUCCCCAGGCCCCCGACUUGCUCUACGCGGACGGGCUGCGAGCCUACUCGGCCGGGGCUUGGGCGCCCGCAGUGGCGCUGCUGCGAGAGGCGCUGCGGAGCCGGGCGGCGCUGGGCCGCGCGCGCCAGGAGUGCGGGGCGAGCUGCGCGGCCGAGCCGGGCGCCGCGCUCCCCUCCCAGCUCCUCGGAGCCCCACAUCCUGUCUCCGGGCCCGGGGUCUGGGAACCGCUGCUCCUGCGCGCCACGCUCCGCCGCGCCGAGUGCCUGACCCAGUGCGCGGUGCGGAGGCUGGGCCCGGGGGGCGCGGCGCGGCUCCGCGUGGGGAGCGCGCUGCGGGAUGCCUUCCGCCGGCGGGAGCCUUACAACUACCUGCAGAGGGCCUACUACCAGUUGAAGAAGCUGGACCUGGCAGCUUCUGCAGCACACACCUUCUUUGUGGCAAACCCAACACACCUGCAGAUGCGGGAAGACAUGGCUAAGUACAGAAGGAUGUCUGCAAUCCGACCCCAGAGCUUCCGGGACCUGGUGACGCCCCUAUACUGGGUGAGGUCCUCAAUGCUGGCUGAAAUCUGCCAACUCCAGCCUGUGCAGUUUGAGCAUAUCUGGGUACCGCUCCUCGGUGGCGCUGGGCAGCUUAUGACACUGGCCUGGAGCUUCUGGAGCAACGGGAGGCAGCACUGGCUCUACCCCAACUAGAGGAGGCCCUGCAGGGGAGCCUGGCCCACAUGGAGAGCUGCCGUGCUGCCUGUGAGGGGCCUGAGGAGCACCAAGGGGCUGAAGAAGAGGGAGAAGGGAGCCAGGGAGGCCUGUAUGAAGCCAUUGCAGGACACUGGAUACGGGUUCUGCAGUGCAGGCAGCACUGUGUGGCAGACACGGCCACCCGUCCUGGUCGCAGCUUCCCUGUCCAGGACUUCCUCCUCAGCCAGCUGAGACGGCUGCACGAGGCGUAUGCUCAGGGUCAGCAUGGGAAGGAUGGAGCCUGGGAGUCAAGAUUUGUCUCUGAUGCCAUUCCCAGCCGCAUUUAUCUAUCUCUCCUGUCCCUCCGACUCUGCAUUGCUAAUUUCACUGUCAGGACCUCUGGGGACCUCAGCUUCAGGAUGGUGUCCUUUGGCACCAUUGUGCGAAGCUCAGGAGAUGGCUUACUGGCUCCUUCAGCUCUGGUUGCUUCUCCCUUCCCUCUCAUUUUCUCUCUGAUUCCUCUUCUUUGAACUCUGCCAUUGAAGUGGGGAACAUGUCUCAGGCCAUGGAAAAUGUCCUGAGUGUCCUGCUCUUCUACCCAGAGGAUGAGGCUGCCAAAAAGGCUCUGAACCAGUACCAAACUCAGUUGGGAGAGCCAAGACCUGACCUGGGACCACGAGAGGACAUCCAGCGGUUCAUCCUUCGCUCCCUCGGAGAGAAGAGACAGUUAUAUUACGCCAUGGAGCAUCUGGGCACUAGCUUCAAGGACCCGGAUUCUUGGACCCCGGAGGCUCUCAUCCCUAAGGCACUGAGAGAGAGGCUCAGGAUCAAGAGAAGAAGCCCUGGGACCAUCAGCCUCCACAGCAGAAGCCCUUGGCUCACUGGAAGGAUGCCCUUCUGAUGGAGGGUGUGACCCUCACGCAGGACGCCCAGCAGCUGAAUGGGUCGGAGCGAGCUGUCUUAGAUGGGCUGCUAACUUCAGCCGAGUGUGGGGUUCUGCUGCAGCUGGCCAAGGAUGCAGCACAGGCUGGAGCCAGGUCAGGCUACCGUGGCCGCCGCUCUCCUCAUAGUCCUCAUGAACGCUUUGAGGGGCUCACGGUGCUCAAGGCUGCUCAGCUGGCCCGGGCAGGGACUGUGGGCAGGCCAGGCGCUAAGCUGCUUCUGGAGGUAAGUGAGCGAGUGCGGACUUUGACCCAGGCCUACUUCUCCCCGGAACGGCCACUGCAUCUUUCCUUCACCCACCUGGUGUGCCGAAGUGCCAUAGAAGGUGAACAAGAGCAGCGUAUGGACCUGAGUCACCCGGUUCAUGCAGACAACUGUGUCCUGGACCCCGACACUGGCGAAUGCUGGCGGGAGCCCCCAGCCUACACCUAUCGAGACUAUAGUGGACUCCUCUACCUCAAUGAUGACUUCAAGGGAGGCGACCUGUUCUUCACGCAGCCCAACGCCCUCACUGUCACGGCUCAGGUCCGUCCUCGGUGUGGGCGCCUUGUGGCCUUCAGCUCUGGUGGUGAGAAUCCCCAUGGUGUAUGGGCUGUGACUCGGGGACGGCGCUGUGCCCUAGCACUGUGGCACACGUGGGCACCUGAGCACAGUGAACAGGAGUGGACAGAAGCCAAAGAGCUGCUGCAGGAGGAAGAGGAGGAAGAAGAGGAGGAAGACAUUCUCAGCAGAGACCCUUCCCCAGAACCCCCAAGUCACAAGCUUCAGCGAGUCCAGGAGAAAGCUGGGAAGCCCCGCCGGGUCCGGGUCCGAGAGGAACUGUGAAUGGCUGAGCCUGCUUCUCAGGAUCAGGCCACUCAACUUGGGAAGGAACUGAUGAGAAGGCUCUGGAGGAUAUCAGGAACAUAGUAGCAUGCCAAGUCUACCAUCUCGGGGACUUACAAGGGCUACCAGACCCUGGACUCACAAGCUUGCUACACAGACUUAGCCUACAGCACAUCAGGCCCGGGAGCCAGGUCUGGCCCCAGCUGAGGGACCUGCAAGGUCCCCAGGACAGACAAAAAUCACUAUGCCUCCCUGAAAGGCAGGCAUGUGGAGGAGUGCAGAGCAACUGCUUCUAAUAAGAAACACACAGAGGGGCUGGAGAGAUGGCUCAGCGGUUAAGAGCACUGACUGCUCUUCUGAGGUCCAGAGUUCAAAUCCCAGCAACCACAUGGUGGCUCACAACCAUCCGUAAUGAGAUCUGGCGCCCUCUUCUGGGGCGUCUGAGGACAGCAACAGUGUACUUACAUAUAAUAAAUAAAUAAAUCUUUAAAAAAAGAAAAAGAAAAGAAAAGAAACACACAGAGGAGACAGUCCCAUCCUCUCCCAACCUGUGCAAUAAAUAAUGAUCAUGAGGCUCUCCAGCCAA